rnacentral:rRNA from 1 species
UACGAAGGGGGCUAGCGUUGCUCGGAAUCACUGGGCGUAAAGGGUGCGUAGGCGGGUCUUUAAGUCAGAGGUGAAAUCCUGGAGCUCAACUCCAGAACCGCCUUUGAUACUGAGGAUCUUGAGUUCGGGAGAGGUGAGUGGAACUGCGAGUGUAGAGGUGAAAUUCGUAGAUAUUCGCAAGAACACCAGUGGCGAAGGCGGCUCACUGGCCCGAUACUGACGCUGAGGCACGAAAGCGUGGGGAGCAAACAGG